rnacentral:rRNA from 1 species
UACACAUGCAGUCGAGCGGAAACGAGUUAACUGAACCUUCGGGAACGUUAACGGCGUCGAGCNGNNGGACGGGUGAGUAAUGCCUGGGAAAUUGCCCUGAUGUGGGGGAUAACCAUUGGAAACGAUGGCUAAUACCGCAUAAUAGCUUCGGCUCAAAGAGGGGGACCUUCGGGCCUCUCGCGUCAGGAUAUGCCCAGGUGGGAUUAGCUAGUUGGUGAGGUAAGGGCUCACCAAGGCGACGAUCCCUAGCUGGUCUGAGAGGAUGAUCAGCCACACUGGAACUGAGACACGGUCCAGACUCCUACGGGAGGCAGCAGUGGGGAAUAUUGCACAAUGGGCGCA